GACGAACGCUGGCGGCGUGCCUAAUACAUGCAAGUAGAACGCUGAAGGAGGAGCUUGCUUCUCCGGAUGAGUUGCGAACGGGUGAGUAACGCGUAGGUAACCUGCCUGGUAGCGGGGGAUAACUAUUGGAAACGAUAGCUAAUACCGCAUAACAGUAGAUGUUGCAUGACAUUUGCUUAAAAGGUGCAAUUGCAUCACUACCAGAUGGACCUGCGUUGUAUUAGCUAGUUGGUGAGGUAACGGCUCACCAAGGCGACGAUACAUAGCCGACCUGAGAGGGUGAUAGGCCACACUGGGACUGAGACACGGCCCAGACUCCUACGGGAGGCAGCAGGAGGGAAUCUUCGGCAAUGGACGGAAGUCUGACCGAGCAACGCCGCGUGAGUGAAGAAGGGUUUCGGAUCGUAAAGCUCUGUUGUAAGAGAAGAACGAGUGUGAGAGUGGAAAGUUCACACUGUGACGGUAGCUUACCAGAAAGGGACGGCUAACUACGUG
rnacentral:rRNA from 1 species